rnacentral:rRNA from 2 species
AGGUGCGAUCAUACCAGCACUAAUGCACCGGAUCCCAUCACAACUCUGCAGUUAAGCGUGCUUGGGCGAGAGUAGUACUAGGAUGGGUGACCUCUUGGGAAGUCCUCGUGUUGCACCUC